rnacentral:rRNA from 1 species
GACAGAGGGUGCAAGCGUUGUUCGGAAUUACUGGGCGUAAAGCGUGUGUAGGCGGUCUCAUAAGUCGGAUGUGAAAGCCCCGGGCUCAACCCGGGAAGUGCAUUCGAAACUGCGAGGCUAGAGUAUCGGAGAGGUUGGUGGAAUUCUCGGUGUAGAGGUGAAAUUCGUAGAUAUCGAGAGGAACACCGGUGGCGAAGGCGGCCAACUGGACGAAUACUGACGCUGAGACACGAAAGCGUGGGGAGCAAACAGG